ensembl:lncRNA
CUCGAAUCUCCGGGCAAGUUAAGUUUGUCUCCGAGGUUCUGAACUGCAGGGAGACGGCGGGUCGCUAGCGUACGAGGAUCCGUGAAGGCCUGCAGUUGGCAGAAUGAAUCUGUGGAGAUGAUUUACACGAAUGAUUUCACUGGGCCUAAGACCAGUCAGUACUACUCCGAAGGAGGAAUUAAGAAGAUGUGAUCCAAAAGGGGCUCUGCUUGAGCGCCGCUUCCCCUUCCACCCUCUCCAUCGCCCACCUCCACCAGGAAAAUUAUUCUUACCGAAGCUCAUUUUCCAAGGAACAAAUAUUCCAGCAAGAUCCUGAUUUCUGCCAGCUUUCUCUUCUAACUUCCCCUUCCAGAGUUUCCUGCAUUAAACCCUGUAGAAAGCAGAUUGCAAAGGAGAGGCCUACAGAUCUGGGUUUAUCAUUGUUUGGCCUGCAAAUGUUAGCCAGCACAGUUCUUUUUAACAUUGAAUUACUUAAAAACACUUGAUGUAGGAGAUUUUUGCCGCCACCCGCACCCCCACCCACCAACAAGUCUAGAUUUCUGGUGUCUCUUGAAAAUGGUUAGAUCUGGUUACACUGGAUGUGUACUGGUAUAUGGCCACCAUCUGCUGGAACCCAGCACCUGUUAUCUGCAUUUGGACAUGCAUUUUCAGGUUUACCAACGUCUCUGUCACUCUUCUGGGGUUCCAUUUUGCCACUUUAUACACAUUGUCUUCUUGACCUUUGUAAGGAUUUGCCAUCUCAGAACUUUCUCCGGCACUCAAAUUACUGAUCUACUGACUGAUCCUCUUAAUCAUAGAACAUGAGUUAAAAAGAAACAUGUCAUCUCUUGGCUAUAGCAGAAGUUGAGGAAAAGGAUCCAAUGUAAAGAAUAUCAUGAUAUGCAGUUGCCUGGGUGAUAGUACAUAAGGGAUGGAUUGCAAAGUGGCCUGAGGAAUCUUUUGCUGGUUGUGGAAAUGAUAUGUAUCUUGAUUGUGCUAAUACUUUCAUGGGUGUACAUAACUGUCAAAAUGCAAUAAACUGUACAGUUUUAUUAUGCAGUUAA